rnacentral:rRNA from 1 species
CACGUAGGGCGCGAGCGUUGUCCGGAAUUAUUGGGCGUAAAGAGCUCGUAGGCGGUUUGUCGCGUCUGCUGUGAAAACGCGAGGCUCAACCUCGCGCCUGCAGUGGGUACGGGCAGACUAGAGUGCGGUAGGGGAGAUUGGAAUUCCUGGUGUAGCGGUGGAAUGCGCAGAUAUCAGGAGGAACACCGAUGGCGAAGGCAGAUCUCUGGGCCGUAACUGACGCUGAGGAGCGAAAGCGUGGGGAGCGAACAGG